rnacentral:rRNA from 1 species
UACGUAGGGGGCAAGCGUUGUCCGGAAUCAUUGGGCGUAAAGAGCGUGUAGGCGGCCAGGUAGGUCUGGUGUGAAAACUCGAGGCUUAACCUCGAGAUGUCAUCGGAAACCAUUUGGCUAGAGUCCGGAAGAGGAGAGUGGAAUUCCUGGUGUAGCGGUGAAAUGCGCAGAUAUCAGGAAGAACACCAAUGGCGAAAGCAGCUCUCUGGGGACGGUACUGACGCUGAGACGCGAAAGCGUGGGGAGCGAACAGG